rnacentral:rRNA from 1 species
UACGUAGGGUGCAAGCGUUGUCCGGAAUUACUGGGCGUAAAGAGUUCGUAGGCGGCCAACUAAGUCAGACGUGAAAUCCCUCGGCUUAACCGGGGAACUGCGUCUGAUACUGGAAGGCUUGAGUAUGGGAGAGGGAUGUAGAAUUCCAGGUGUAGCGGUGAAAUGCGUAGAUAUCUGGAGGAAUACCGGUGGCGAAGGCGGCAUCCUGGACCAUUACUGACGCUGAGGCGCGAAAGCUAGGGGAGCAAACGGG